AUUGAACGCUGGCGGCAGGCCUAACACAUGCAAGUCGAACGAGUGGCGGACGGGUGAGUAAUGUCUGGGAAACUGCCUGAUGGAGGGGGAUAACUACUGGAAACGGUAGCUAAUACCGCAUACCAUCAGAUGUGCCCAGAUGGGGUUAGCGUGUUGGUGGGGUAACGGCUCACCAAGGCGCCGAUCCCUAGCUGGUCUGCGAGGAUGACCAGCCACACGGCAACUGUGACCCGGUCCAGCCGCCGACGGGAGGCAGCAGUGGGGAAUAUUGCACAAUGGGCGCAAGCCGGAUGCAGCCAUGCCGCGUGUAUGAAGAAGGCCUGCGGGUUGUAAAGUACUGUCAGCGGGGAGGCGUUACCCGGAGAAGAAGCACCGGCUAACUCCGUGCCAGCAGCCGCGGUAAUAC
rnacentral:rRNA from 1 species